GGAUGUGAGGGUGAUCUGGAUGCAACAUCCAGCACCCCCAUUGAUUGCCAGGAUUGAUUGGAGUAAUCUAGAUUGCUAGGCCUUCCUCCCUCACUUCUCCAUGUGCAUCUCUCCAGAAGCUGCCUACUGGGUCAAAGAGGAUGACCUUCCCUGACAAAGGCAUACUGUUCUUCUGCCAAGGGUUUACAAGUAGAUUUGCUCCACUGCCAUAACAAGCUCCCAAGUUCCAUAAAGCUCUGUCUCUGUAAAAUAGAUAAAGUCAUACAUAUAUUACACACAAGCUAUAGUCCAGUGAUUUCAU
rnacentral:snRNA from 1 species